rnacentral:rRNA from 1 species
UGGACCUACGGGAGGCAGCAGUAGGGAAUAUUGCUCAAUGGGGGAAACCCUGAAGCAGCAACGCCGCGUGGAGGAUGAAGGUUUUAGGAUUGUAAACUCCUUUUGUGAGAGAAGAUAAUGACGGUAUCUCACGAAUAAGCACCGGCUAACUCCGUGCCAGCAGCCGCGGUAAUACGGAGGGUGCAAGCGUUACUCGGAAUCACUGGGCGUAAAGAGUGCGCAGGCGGGUUUGUAAGUGAGAUGUGAAAUCCUGAA